rnacentral:rRNA from 1 species
GACGAACGCUGGCGGCGUGCUUAACACAUGCAAGUCGAACGGAAACGCCCUGUUUUUGUGGGCUGCUCGAGUGGCGAACGGGUGAGUAACACGUGAGUAACCUGCCCCUCACUGUAGGAUAACUUUAGGAAACAGGGGCUAAUACCGGAUAGGAGCUCCUGCUGCAUGGUGGGGGUUGGAAAGUUUCGGCGGUUGGGGAUGGACUCGCGGCUCAUCAGCUUGUUGGUGGGGUAGUGGCUUACCAAGGCCUUGACGGGUAGCCGGCCUGAGAGGGGCACCGGCCCCAUGAGGCCUGAGCUACGACCCAGCCUCGAACGGUAGGCAACGGAGGAGAAUAUAAUACAGUGGGCGGGAGCCUGAUGUGACACCGCCGCGUCCGGGAAGACAGCAUGCGGGUAGUGAAGCGCUGCCGCCUGUGACGAAGUGUGAGUGACGGUACCGGGUGAAUAAGCACCGGCUAACUACGUG